rfam:Ciona savignyi cont_33203, whole genome shotgun sequence.
AGAUUGAAUAUACCCGAUCUCGUCUGAUCUCGGAAGUCAAGCAAUCUCGGGCUUGGUUAGUACUUGGAUGGGUGACCGCUUGGGAAUACCAAGUGUGAUAAGCA